UCGGAUUAAAUGGCAAUAGUGUGGACAGU
rnacentral:piRNA from 1 species